UACAGGGGGUGCAAACGUUGCUCGGAAUCAUUGGGCGUAAAGAGCUCGUAGGCGGUUCGGCAAGUCGGAUGUGAAAUCUCCACGCUUAACGUGGGGGGGCCAUUCGAAACUGCUGUGACUCGAGUCCGGUAGGGGAGUGUGGAAUUCCCGGUGUAGCGGUGAAAUGCGCAGAUAUCAGGAGGAACACCGGUGGCGAAGGCGGGAUCUCUGGGCAGUAACUGACGCUGGAGGAGCGAAAGCGUGGGGAGCGAACAGG
rnacentral:rRNA from 1 species